AUUGAACGCUGGCGGCAGGCCUAACACAUGCAAGUCGAGCGGAUCGGCGGACGGGUGAGUAUUGCCUAUGAAUCUGCCUGGUAGUGGUGGAUAACGUCCGGAAACGGGCGCUAAUACCGCAUACUAUCAGAUGAGCCUAGGUCGGAUUAGCUCGUUGGUGGGGUAAAGGCCUACCAAGGCGCCGAUCCGUAACUGGUCUGAGAGGAUGAUCAGUCACACUGGAACUGAGACACGGUCCAGAAUCCGACGGGAGGCAGCAGUGGGGAAUAGUGGAGAAGGGGCGCAAGCCUGAUCCAGCCAUGCCGCGUAUGUGAAGAAGGUCUUCGGAUUGUAAAGCACUUUAAGGUGGGAGGCGGUACCAAAAGAAUAAGCACCGGCUAACUUCGUGCCAGCAGCCGCGGUAAUUC
rnacentral:rRNA from 1 species